rnacentral:hammerhead_ribozyme from 1 species
AUCCAGAUGACGAGUCUCAAAUAGGACGAAACGCGCGUCGAACUGGAU